GAAAUGGCUCAGAGCAAAGGCAAUGCCACAGGACCUGCAGCAUCCUUCCAAUGCAGCACUCAGAGCACAAUGGGCUGCUGGUCAGAAUGGACAUACCUCUCUGAAGGAGAUGAAGACACAGCUCCAGGGCAGGCAAAUCCUGAACAUGGAGCUGCUCAGCCAUGCAUCACAGUGGGGAACUGAUGGAAGAAAUGAAUGUGCUUCUUCACUCAGCAGUAUGACUUAUAACUCAGGAGGGAAAAAUGAGCUCAUGAGGACAGCCUGUUUCACCUUCUCUCCCACUCCUCAUGGGUAUAGAGAUGGGUAGGAGAGUCAAAAGCUGCCAAAAGCAUCAGCCAGAGGAGAACUGACAGGCUAGCAGCUCGUUAUUACUCAUCCUGGUGAUUUUAUGUCACACUUUUCACUAAGUGCUCUGAUAAACAUGCUCUAAUUCCUUCAGUGCCUCUUGCAGCUCGAGUUUGAAGCAGUGGGAUGACAGGAAGAUUGAGGCUUUGCAGAAGGGCAUUUGGGUCGGAGCCUCAGCUAGUGCAAGUCUUCCUGGUUGUGGGAUUUCUGCAUCCCUUUUCAGAACCAAAGCUGGUAAGCAUCUUUUGAAGUGCAGAUGUCUUGGAAAAGCAGUGAUACACAAUUCUAUUUAAAUGAGAGUAAUAAAAGGAAAACAAAUUUAGGAAAUAUAUGUAAACCAUCCCUAAUCGCAACCAGGAAAUCAACUUUGCUAGAGUGGGGCUGAGCGUGUGUCUAAUCUGGGCUCGGGUGAGGAACAGAAGAAAUGUAGAAGGAAUCAAUUUUUACUAUGUUAUGCUGAGCCUCUCACUGACAGACACAAGCCAGCUGUCAGCAUCAGCACUUAAAGCAUAACUUGACCAAACUGCCCUCAACUGAGGGAGCAAGAUCAAUUGGGGCAUGUGCAUGGCUCCAGGAAGCUUCAUCCUCUUGGAAACAAGAAGCAAGUGAGGGUGGCAUUAGUGGCAUGGUGCGUGUAACCAAAAGGAUGUCCUCAAUAUGAGUGUGCUUGGUGUUGGAAAUCUUUUAGAAUAACCUUCUGAUUCUUCUCCCUUUGGUACCACCUCAUUUGAUGGCAAGAUUGAGCUCUGGAUCUUCCAGUCUGACCUCUGGUUAGAUUCUUCAUCCUCUCAUGCAACAGUCGCCCUAGUGAAUGCAGGAUGCUCUCUCAUCGACUCUUCUCUUGCUUGUUCCUCUUCAUCUCAAGCCUUUACAAUCUUCAGAAAGAGCAGAAUGGAAAGAGCCCAUACAUUGUGGCUGCUAAUAGGAUCUCCAGAAAGUGCCAGGGCACCGCAUUUGAGAUAUUGCUGUGAUAGUGCCAGCAAAGUGACAGAAUCCAAAGCAACCAGUGUGUGAUAAAACCUGAAGCAUUUAGCAUACAUCAUGGCUUGGAAAAAUGAUUUGGUCAGAAAGUCUUCAAAUUACUGUACGGUCUCAGAACAACAGAAAGAGCAAGAAGCUUGCUCUGAAAGCGGGGAUCUAGUUCAGAUAUAUUCUACAUGGCUAUAGGCACUCACACAUAUAUAACCGUUGAGAUCAGCACCGGAUGGUGUUUUUUAUUUAGUUUCAUGCUUUGUUAACUUCUCUAAAUUAUGUGGAACGCUUUUUUUUUUUUUUUAAUACCCAAACUUCUGCCUGUUCCCAAUUACCAAAAGAGAAGAAGAAGGGGAAAAAAAAAAAGAGGAAAAAAGAGCUGAGUCUGUGGAGCAAGCUGGCACCACUACGAAGCAAUCUCCAACUACACAAUGCAUCCUUCUUGCAGGAACUAUCAGAGGCAAGUUGGGGACUGGAGAGAUGGAGGAGUUAAGGCACAUGGUGGUAGGCUGCAGGGAAGACACUGACAGAGAUUGAAAGAGGUCUUGAGCAUUUCUAAAGCCCUGAAGGAAGUGUCAGAGAGAUUUUGAUGAUACUCAUCCCUGCCUUCUGGUUUGGGUACUCGGAGGACUUAUAUUAACUCAAAAAUGCAGAAAGAAAAUCUGCAGUGCUCCUUUUGAGUUGUCUGCUAAAUCUUAAUAGAUACAAACCAAAGCCUGGGACUCUGUCUGAGGCUCACCUCUAACGGAUCAACUGCAGCUAACCAGAACCUUGGGUGAAUCUGGACAUGCAGUUUGUUCUGCUAUUGGGUCUUUAUCCAGUGUUCAAGGUUGCUUUUUGAUAUGACAAUUGAAGAUAGUUUUUAUUCAAUUAUUGCAUUAGUGGGAGUCUGAAGCAGGCUCAUGAUCACCAGGGUUAUUGCUGUAUGAGUUAAUGUUCACACCCCUUUUGGGUGUCCCAGAGGAGUGCUGCAGGCUUAUGGCCAAAUUUUAUUUUGACUUGGAUCCCAGUGUGCAAGCCAACUGUUUCUGCAUUUCAUUUCUGUCAUAUCCUGUACAUUAAAACACCAUUAAUUCAAACCUUUUGUUUCUAAGAACAACUGUGCUGUAAAACAGCAAUAAAAAGCUGCCAAAGUUCUCUUAAA